UGGGGNCNNUUGCACAAUGGGCGAAAGCCUGAUGCAGCGACGCCGCGUGAGCGAAGAAGGCCUUCGGGUCGUAAAGCUCUGUCCUAUGGGACGAUAGUGACGGUACCAUAGGAGGAAGCCCCGGCCAAGGACGCG
rnacentral:rRNA from 1 species